ensembl:lncRNA
AGGCAGUGCUCGGCCGCCCGCAGUGACUCGUCUUCAAAGGGAGUCUGUGACCGAGGGACCUCUACAUGGACGCUGUGGAGAAUGGCACUGUUAACCUCUUAACUUAUGAUGCUAUCUAAAAGGUUUUAAAGAUGGUGUGUAGAGAAAAAAAAAAAGCAUUUGUGUAUAAUAUUUGUACAACUGUCUAUGGCUGGGGUUUUUCACUGUUUUUUAAAUGUGUUUUACUUCUCAUUUUUUAUUUUAAGGAAAAAUGCUUUUUUUGCAUUUAUUUCUUAAUGCUUUUUGAAAGGAUCAAACUUCAUCUUUGAUUUCUCUUUGUAGGAACUUGUGCCUUGCAUGCCUUCGUUGCUGUGUCUUUUAAUUUCCUUUGCCUCAAGUUAGCUGUUUGAUCGUAUAGAUGUUACCAUGGAAACAUUUUAAACCCUCACCAUUCAUGAUGAUCUUGUUUCCACAAGCAUGCAUCACAGAUAAUAUUUUUUUUUUGCUAGCAAGGAAGACCAAGUCGGCCUCUGAAGACCAAUUUACUCUGAGCCUGGAAGACUGUGAGCAUGAUGUCGGCCAUUUUAUGUGUGUUCCUCCCUCCCUUCAAAUGGCUUCUUGGUGUGUGUGUGUGUGUGUGUGUCUCUGAGCGUGUUCAUUUUUGCAUACACGUGAAUACAAAAUAGAAAUCAAAGGGACCUAUUUUCCUCCUAUUCAUCCUCAAAACUUGUGAUUUUUUUUUAUGAGACCAAAAAUGAUACACUGAUUAACAUGUGCAUGGUCUUGAUUGUUGCUAUCAAGGCAAACAUUCCUAUUCCAAAUACACUGAGAUGCUUUGACACAAGGAUCAUCAAGCGACUCUGUAGCAGCAUGGUGGUAAGUCCACUGCUACCAUGGAUGAUAAUAUGUCCUAAUAGUCCCUAAUCACGUGCACUUUGGAUAGAUUAGGAUCUGUACUGGAUUAAGGUUACAAACCCCAAGCCCCAAACCUUUUGAUUCCAUUGGAUGGGGACCAGCAAUUUCCAUAUUUUUUUUUUGCUAAUAAAAGUGUUGCUAUGGUGAGACAUGGCAACCCAUCCUAUCUA